GGGGGACAGCCUUUGAGUAGCCACAGUGGGAGUUCUGAGGACUUCAGACUGGCUUGGGAGGCUGUGGAAUGUGGAGCGUGGUCAUCAACUGUUCAGCAGCAGGAGGCCUCGCUGUUAUCACCAUCCCCCACCCAGAUGCCCCCCCACCCUCUGAGUUAGGGUGGCCUCCAGAUGCCCUGCUCUAACAGUUGCUGUCCUCUGCCUCUCCCACCCUGCAGGUUACGUGUUCUGUAUGUUACAUCGCCUCCCCGAGCAGCAUGACUGCACAUUCGACCACAUGGGCCGCGGCCGAGAGGAAGCCAUCAUGAAAAUGGUGAAACUGGACCGGAAAGUGGGGCGCUCCUGCCAGCGCAUCGGGGAGGGGUGCUCCUGAAGGCCAGGCAUGGCCACCACAUGACGCUGUUCUUAGUUCACUAAUGUUAGCCUUAUUUAGGACAAAGUCAGCCAGACACCUUGUACUGGGCACGCGUCAGACUACAGCCAGUCCGUUUCCUUUCUUUAGCCAGCCAUCCUGGUACUGUAGUUUAGGGGUUGAUGGUGGUUGAAAUUGAUUUCUGGCUGGUUACUAAGGUGCCUGCUAGCCAUUGUAUAAAAUUAAAACAUGAACAAUAUUUUUUUUUGAGCAUGGCUAGUGGAUUUAAAACAACACAUACCUGUCACUGCUGGAGUCAAACUUAUAAAAAGCCUUAAGCGGAAAGUGUUCCAGACGGAGACUCUGAGUUGUAGAGGAGUAGAAGCUGGUGUUACAGUUCCACGACGCACAUGGCUUUGCCAGAAACUCUGUUUAAUGUUUGGCCUUUCACCUCUUCACUUACCCUUAGUCCCAGGAGCCAGGAUACCUGAUGGCCACGCGUGCCUUGGCCAUGGGAGGCUGCUGAUGGCCACGUGGCUGGGCUGGGUGGUGGCCUCGCUCUCCCACACAGCUGGAAAUGGGGGGCAGGGGACAGAUUCUUAUGGAAAUUUUUUUACCUGACUUGCUAUGAAACUCAUCACACCGAAGAGAAACAAUAACCUCACCUCGAAAAUUAGCUCCACUCAAGACUAGUUCAUGCACGAAACCCACCUUUUCUACACAGGAUCCGCAGUCAUGAGAAGCACCCAGCCAGAGUGUACCCUGACCCCAGUGGCUCUGGUUGCCAUUUGCUAACCGCAGGGAUCUGGCAGUUGAUCAAAGGCCCGUGGCAGCACAGCACUGUGGCUGGGGUCUACAAACUGGCUUCUGCAGCCAGAUUUCAUAUUGGGAGUUUUUAAAAAAGACAUUUCAUAGCCACCAGGAAUCAGUAGUAGUGUUGGGGAGCAGCUGGGGAUGCUGCUGCCACAGCCUCGGUCCCUUCCACCCAGAGCCCACUUGCCCUUCUGGGGCUAAGAGGAUGGUGCCGUGGCCCCCGCUCCUUCCCGUGCGGUCCAUAGUUGAAGGACAGCCGUCCGCCUCUGCCACAUGGCAGGCUUGGGAAGGGAAGGCAGCCUGCCUCACCAGAGUGUGGGUUGGCACCUCUAGAGCAGUGGCUGUGGCUGUGGCAGGAGGUGGGGAGGGCAGGUCUCCCACCCAUUCCUCUGUGUGGGCAGAGAGGUUCAGUAGCCACAGUUGCUCAGCCAGUGGGGAAGAGGGGUGGUGGGCCUGGUUGCCUUGUUAGGAAAUCGUUACCAGUCAGCUGAGCGUCUGGCUGGGGAGUCAGGACCAGGAUUCCCUUGGAGGCCCCAAUCAGGUGGUGGUUGUGCCAGUGCCCCCCCCCCCCUUGUGGUCCCAGUCAGAGAGGGCAGGAGGCUUCUGCCGAGGCACCGUGGUCUGCCCACACACAGGCUACUGAUGGAACAGUUUAACCCAGCAGUUUCCUUGUAAUCCCCCACCAUACAGUUCAACUACUCUGUCUGCAAAUUGUCAGUGGAACACCUGCAGCUGCAAAUGUUUUUCAACCCAAAAUAAUGAAAUAGGAAAUCAUGCUCUUCCCAAUCUCCUGCCCCCACCCCACCUCCACCCCCACCCCCACCCGAGUGGAAUCCGCUGCAGAAUCUCCAGCCUUAAUUAUUGCUUCAGGACCCAGACCGGUGUCUUGCUCUAGGGCAGCCCAGGGCAGAGGGGCCAGGUCUGCCCAGCGUUUACCACUGUUGUCAAGCCACGGCCCUCUGGCCACUACAUGGCCAUCCUCAGUGAGGCGCCCGCCUAGGCCCCCCUCCAAGCUCUAUCCCGAAGAGGCCGCAGGUGUGUGCCCUUCCUGGCCCUCCUCAGGCCCCAGCAGCUGCUGCUUGGAGGCAGCAGUGGGAAGGAGGUGCUCUGGGUGCCACUGCACACAGGGCCCGUGGCCCACGUUCACUUCCUGACAGUAGAGCCGGGUGGGGGAGGAAGGGCUUGUUCCCCUGCAGUAUCUGUUCUGUGAAGUUUGUUAAAUGUAAGGAAAGCUUAAAUUCUUGUAUCUUUAAAGAGAAAAUCUUAUUUAACCCUUUUGUGUUCUAGAUUUACUUACACACAUAGCCUAGAGCUCAGUUUUAGUUUUAACAUUGUGAAACUAUUAAAAGAAUCUGUAACUUUAUUCUUUUUUUCUCCUGCUGAAAAAAAUUAAACAAAUCAUAUGAAAGUUUGGAGUUCUCUAUUUCGCCGGUUUUCCUAAAUGCCCCCUGAAUAGCCUGAGCAGUAGA
rnacentral:lncRNA from 1 species